UAAGGAUUCAAACUUUGCUAUGCUCCUAUGCUAUCCCCUAUUGUUAUGCUCAAUUAAGUCCUGGACUGAAUAAACCAUUGUUAGGCUCCAGUGCACUCUCCCUGGCUUAACAGGUGUAACAUUUUUGCAUUGGGUGUGUUGCCUUACCAAGCACUAAGGCUUCACUAUCUGCUCAGAAGUCAAACAGGGAGGACCUAUGGGUCAUUGGUUCAGAAAUGCUAUUAGAAAAUUGAAGUUUUAGACUUGGAUUUAGGGCAGAUAGCGCUGCAUUUUCAAUUUUAAGCAUCAAGAACAUGACUGCUGAGAAUUGAGGCCUUCCUGAUGAUUUCCUGCCUUUAGUCACAGACGUCAAACUAUGGGUUCUGAUUCUGGUUCUGAUUCUGAUUCUGGUUCCGAUUCCGGUUCCGAUUCCACUCGUGGUUCCACUGGUCGUUCCACUGGUUAUUCCAAUUCUGGUUCUGAGUUUGGUUCCAACCGCCAUUCCAGUAGCCGUUCCGGUCCCAUCUUCGGAUCCACCAUGAUUAUGACUGUCAAAUCCCGCAAUGGACAAGAUUUGUAAAGAGAGUCUGAGGGAAGGCAGUUCCGUCGACAGAUGAUGUAAUUAUGUAACGAUUCGUCAGUAUCAAUGAACAUUGAACUGGAGUGAUUAUAUCACCUUAUAACGUGGGUUACUUUGUAUGUUAUUCCAAAGACUUUUAUCUUAUGUUAUUUGUACUCAGAAACAAAGCCAUUGAAUCAUUGUUCUACAAGAACCUGAAUACAGUUUUAAUAAAUUCUUUAAACUGUA